CCCUUAGAUGUUCUGGGCUGCACGCGUGCUACACUGAUAUUGCCAAUAUGUCAUUCUUAUCCGAAAUGGAUUGGGUAAUCAAGUAAUGAAAUUUCAUGCUUGGAAUCGGUAAUUGCAAUUUUAUCGUGAACGAGGAAUUCCUAGUAAGCACUAGUCAUCAGCUAAUGUUGAUUAUGUCCCUGCCCUUUGUACACACCGCCCGUCGCUACUACUGAUUGGGUGUUCAAGUGAGAUGCUUAGACCCUUGUUGCAUGGUUCAUUAUUGUGCUCCGAAAGGAAAAAGUUUCAAGCUUGAGUGUCUAAAGGAAGUAAAAGUCGUAACA
rnacentral:rRNA from 1 species